rnacentral:rRNA from 1 species
AAUUGGGGGGUUAAAGUAUAUUAAUAGAAAAAAUUUAAAAAAUUAUAGUGAAUUAUGUAUUGUAAAAGAAUUUUGAAAUAGGUGAAAAUAAAUUUAGUUUAAAGUAAUUUUAAUUUAAUGUAUCUUGUGUAUCAGAGUUUAUUAAAUAAUAUUUUUGUAUACUAAAAAAUUCUCGAAUUUAAGAGAGAUAAUUAAUUAUAAAAGUUAUUGUUACAUAAAUAUUUUACAUAAUUAAUUUGAAAUGAAAUGUUAAUCGUUCUUAAAUAUAUCUAGUUUUUUUAGAAAAAAAUUUAAUUUUUAAUUAAUUAACUAAAUAAUUAAUUAAUUAAUUAUUUAGUUAAUAUUAACUAAAUAAUUAAUUAAUUAAUUAUUUAGUUAAUUAAUUUUAUAAUUUAAGGGAUAAGCUUUAAAUUAAAUUAAUAUAAUAAAAUUUAAUUUAAUUUUGAAAAUUAUAUAAUUUAUAUUGUUAAUAAAUUUUAGUUUAUUAUAAAUAAUUUCAAAAUAAAUAAAAUUUAAUAAUAAUUUAUAAUUAUUUAUAAAAAUAUAAUUUUUAAUAAAAAUAAAUUAAUUAUAAUGAUAAAAUUAGUAUAUAAUAUUAAUAUAUAAUUUAUAUUAAUUAAUAUUUAAGAAAAUUAUUUUAAAGGAAUUCGGCAAAAAUUUAUAUUCACUUGUUUAUCAAAAACAUGUCUUUUUGUAAAUAAUAUAAAGUCUAAUCUGCCCACUGAUAAAUUAUUAAAGGGCUGCAGUAUUUUGACUGUACAAAGGUAGCAUAAUCAUUAGUCAUUUAAUUGAUGACUUGUAUGAAAGAUUGGAUGAAAUAUAGACUGUCUCUAAAAUAAUAUAUAGAAUUUAAUUUUUUAAUUAAAAAGUUAAAAUAAAUUAAAAAGACGAGAAGACCCUAUAGAGUUUUAUAGAUAAAUAUAUUAAAUUUAUUUAUAAAUAUUAAAAAUUUUAAUUUAUUAAUUUAUUUUAUUGGGGUGAUAGAAAAAUAAAAAUAACUUUUUUUAAUAUAUUAUUAUAGUAUACAUAAAUAAGUGAAUAUAUGAUCCAAUUUUAUUGAUUAUAAGAAAAAAUUACCUUAGGGAUAACAGCGUAAUUUUUUUUUUUAGUACAAAUAAAAAAAAAAGUUUGCGACCUCGAUGUUGGAUUAAGAUAAAAUUUAAAUGUAGAAGUUAAAAAUUUUUGAUCUGUUCGAUCAUUAAAAUCUUACAUGAUCUGAGUUCAAACCGGUGUGAGCCAGGUUGGUUUCUAUCUUUUAUAAAAAAAAAAUAUUUUAGUACGAAAGGAUUAAAUAUUUAAAUUAGAUUUAUUAAAAUGAAUUUUAUU